CAGUCGCCGCGGUAAUACGAAGCGGGCUAGCGUUGUUCGGAUUUACUGGGCGUAAAGCGCACGUAGGCGGAUCGUUAAGUCGGGGGUGAAAUCCUGGAGCUCAACUCCAGAACUGCCUUCGAUACUGGCGAUCUUGAGUCCGGAAGAGGUGAGUGGAACUCCUAGUGUAGAGGUGGAAUUCGUAGAUAUUAGGAAGAACACCAGUGGCGAAGGCGGCUCACUGGCCCGGUACUGACGCUGAGGUGCGAAAGCGUGGGGAGCAAACAGGAUUAGAGACCCCCGUAGUCCCUGUCUCUUAUAC
rnacentral:rRNA from 1 species